GAAUGCACGAGAAAUUAUGCUCCUCGAAAAAAAGCAGCGUAAGAAGGGAUACCCAGAGAUCACAUCACCUCACCUCAGUCAAGGCUAUCGUUUUGGCUCGAAACGCCGACUGCGGACUUAAACCGGGUCUCCUCCCUACCCCAUUGGGAAAGCAGCACUGAGUGAGCAGCUGCCUGGUGCUCAGUUGCCAGCUGAAGCUAAACCACAGCACCACGUUAACUUUCAGAUCAGCUCUGGAAUAUUUUUUGAGAGUGGGUUUAUGAGAAGCAGCUCUUAUCUGGGAC